AAGGUGGAUGAAGAAGAUGUCGUGUCCCACAUCCUGGCUGGACUCGACGAGGAGUUUGAUCCCGUGAUCUCGGCCAUGUGCUCUCGGGUCGAGCUAGUCAAGGUUCCGGAGAUGUACUUGCAGCUCCUGAGCUUCGAAA
rfam:Triticum aestivum genome assembly, contig: Triticum_aestivum_CS42_TGACv1_scaffold_061394_1DL